rnacentral:rRNA from 1 species
CCUACGGGUGGCAGCAGUCGAGAAUUUUUCUCAAUGGGGGAAACCCUGAAGGAGCGACGCCGCGUGGAGGAUGAAGGUCUUCGGGUUGUAAACUCCUGUCAUUUGGGAACUAGUACCAGAAGAGGAAGGGACGGCUAACUCUGUGCCAGCAGCCGCGGUAAUACAGAGGUCUCAAGCGUUGUUCGGAUUCAUUGGGCGUAAAGGGUGUGUAGGUGGCGCGCUAAGUCGGGUGUGAAAUUUCGGAGCUUAACUCCGAAACUGCAUUCGAUACUGGCGUGCUUGAGGACUGGAGAGGAGACUGGAAUUCAUGGUGUAGCAGUGAAAUGCGUAGAGAUCAUGAGGAAGACCAGUGGCGAAGGCGGGUCUCUGGACAGUCCUGACACUGAGACACGAAGGCCAGGGGAGCAAACGGGAUUAGAUACCCUUGUAGUC